rnacentral:lncRNA from 1 species
AGCGGCAGCAUUAAUGCUCUCCUGGAAAGUUGUGCAGCACAAAUGAGAAAGAAGUUGCAAACACUGAAGGAUUUGAAGUUGGAGUUCAGAAGCCAAGCUACUAUAUUAGACUAGGAUCACUGUCUUCAAAGCACAUUGAGUCAAGAGCACUAGCUACUGCAUGGAGCCUCACUCAGCAGCUUUAGACCACCUGCCUCACGCUGAUCUCGAG